GAUUUUCAUAUGGCAAUAAAAGAAAAAUUUCAUCUGUCAACUGAAAUUUCGAGGAAUUGUUUUUGGUUUGGCUUUAAAUUUCCUUUAAAAAGUGAUGAAAAUGUCGAAGAAACCUCUUCGAUCGCAAGCAAGACAUAUUUUUUUCAAUGUUUAUCAAAGAAUACUUGGUCAACAAGAUGCAGAACAUACACAAUCAUCGAUAUUGAGCCAUGUGCAAGCGUUGACUGGGAUCGAUGAAUGGCGAAAAUCUUGUGAACAUGUAAUAAAAAUUGAAAAUCAGUUCAUAGAACAAGAUCGGUUAAUUGAGAUGCAGGAGGAAAGGUUUAUCAUAAAAACUGAGUUGAAGACUUUUUUAUGGAUGUGCAGUAUUUGGAACCAUUUUCAAGUUCUUAAUUAAUAAACUCAUGAACAGAGUAA